rnacentral:lncRNA from 1 species
UCUUCAGUGGAAACCUCCAAAUGAAUCAUUCUUGUAUUAUACACUAUGUCACAACUAUUGCAUCAAUUCUCAACAGGUUAACAAUAAAACCUCUGAGAAAUCAGUCCUUGAAUAUCAAACUGGAUCCAGUCUAAAAGCUGCUGAUUCUCCGAUUUGAAGACAUUUUCAACCCAGUUGAAACGAGAUCAAUGGCUGCCAAGUAUGACAUUGUCCUAUCAUGGACAGGAGGAACUACAAAGUAACUAAGGAAAGUUCUAACAUUUAAUGAAAAAUUCAUAACCAGGUCAAAAUGAUUCUACUAAGAAAUAAAAAUGCCUGGAAACAAGAAAACAGGCCUCUAACCCCACACCCAACCAGCUGCCAUCUUCAUUCCAUGAAGAUGGAUUCUGAUUUCUCCAAGACAACCACAGAGUGAACAUUGGAAAGUAUUGCAAUGGAUGCUGAUUCCUCUGCCCAUUUGCCGUGUCCAGGUUAUG